UACGAAGGGGGCUAGCGUUGCUCGGAAUCACUGGGCGUAAAGGGUGCGUAGGCGGGUCUUUAAGUCAGGGGUGAAAUCCUGGAGCUCAACUCCAGAACUGCCUUCGAUACUGGGAGUCUCGAGUUCGGGAGAGGUGAGUGGAACUGCGAGUGUAGAGGUGAAAUUCGUAGAUAUUCGCAAGAACACCAGUGGCGAAGGCGGCUCACUGGCCCGGUACUGACGCUGAGGUGCGAAAGCGUGGGGAGCAAACAGG
rnacentral:rRNA from 1 species